rnacentral:rRNA from 2 species
AAGCGCGCGCAGGCGGUUUCUUAAGUCUGAUGUGAAAGCCCCCGGCUCAACCGGGGAGGGUCAUUGGAAACUGGGGAACUUGAGUGCAGAAGAGGAGAGUGGAAUUCCACGUGUAGCGGUGAAAUGCGUAGAGAUGUGGAGGAACACCAGUGGCGAAGGCGACUCUCUGGUCUGUAACUGACGCUGAGGCGCGAAAGCGUGGGGAGCGAACAGGAUUAGAUACCCUGGUAGUCCACGCCGUAAACGAUGAGUGCUAAGUGUUAGAGGGUUUCCGCCCUUUAGUGCUGCAGCAAACGCAUUAAGCACUCCGCCUGGGGAGUACGGUCGCAAGACUGAAACUCAAAGGAAUUGACGGGGGCCCGCACAAGCGGUGGAGCAUGUGGUUUAAUUCGAAGCAACGCGAAGAACCUUACCAGGUCUUGACAUCCUCUGACAACCCUAGAGAUAGGGCUUCCCNUUC